rnacentral:hammerhead_ribozyme from 1 species
GUUCAGUUGGAGAGUCCCAAAUAGGACGAAACGCGCGUCUAAACUGGAU